UACAGAGGGUGCAAGCGUUAAUCGGAAUUACUGGGCGUAAAGCGUGCGUAGACGGUUAUGUAAGUCGGGUGUGAAAGCCCCGGGCUCAACCUGGGAAUUGCAUUCGAGACUGCAUAGCUAGGGUGCGGAAGAGGGAAGCGGAAUUUCCGGUGUAGCGGUGAAAUGCGUAGAUAUCGGAAGGAACACCAGUGGCGAAGGCGGCCACCUGGACCGGUUCUGACGCUGAUGCGCGAAAGCGUGGGGAGCAAACAGG
rnacentral:rRNA from 1 species